rnacentral:antisense_RNA from 1 species
ACAGACAAGUAACUCUCCAGCGGCAUGAAAUGCAUCCAGAAAUCCAAACCAUUUUUCCAGGCCGGUUCCCAGUCCAGCUCCGGAGCCACCGUGCCGAGUUCUCCCAGGCCGCACUCACCCCGGAGGAAGCCUUGGCCCCCUCGUCCUCUUCGCCCCUCCAGGCCGGCGACGUGGGGCUGACGGCCAGGUCGCAAAAAGCAGGGCCGAGCGGAGCCCGCUCCCCUCGGUCGGCGGUGGAGACCCCGGCCCAAUCCCCCGGCCGCAGCGGUACGGCGUCGGCGGCAGCAGCUGACCCGGACACAGUGAGAGGCCCCGGCGGAAGUGAUAACAUCCCGACCUCCUCCGGGCGCGGCAGCCGGCGGUGGAGGCGGCGGAGGCGUGGCGGCGGAGGCGUGGCGGCGGCGGAGGCGUGGCGU